rnacentral:rRNA from 1 species
GUGGGGGAUAUUGCACAAUGGGGGAAACCCUGAUGCAGCGACGCCGCGUGUAGGAAGACGGUCCUCUGGAUUGUAAACUACUGUCUUCAGGGACGAUAAUGACGGUACCUGAGGAGGAAGCUCCGGCUAACUACGUGCCAGCAGCCGCGGUAAUACGUAGGGAGCGAGCGUUGUCCGGAAUUACUGGGUGUAAAGGGAGCGUAGGCGGGGAGGCAAGUUGGAUGUGAAAACUAUCGGCUCAACUGAUAGACUGCAUUCAAAACUGUUUCUCUUGAGUGAAGUAGAGGCAGGCGGAAUUCCUAGUGUAGCGGUGAAAUGCGUAGAUAUUAGGAGGAACACCAGUGGCGAAGGCGGCCUGCUGGGCUUUUACUGACGCUGAGGCUCGAAAGUGUGGGGAGCAAACAGGAUUAGAAACCCUUGUAGUCC